AUGUCGCCUGCCGGAAAGAAAGGUACUCUGGAACAUCGUUGGGGGAACAAACCUUCCAGAAAUAUUGGAUAUGUGCGUCCUCUGAGGCCUGCAGUUCGUCCCAGGUUCCCUGUUGUCUGUCCGGAGUCUGUGCUCCCCAGGCCGCAUAGGGAACCCAUGUAUGUGACUUUUGUCAGCAAAGCCGUGCUGUGGGACAGAGAGCUCCACCACACCUCUGUCCGGGAUGGCUCUCUUAGGCGUCCCUCUGUGUGUCCACGGUUCCUGUCCCACAUGAAGGUUCCUGCUGGAGAAGACCUUCACGCUUUGCGUUUUCUGAACUCCAUGUCCAUGCAGCAGCUUCCAUCCGAGGAGGAGAUGUUUCACCUCGCGUCCACAAAGACCCGAAGUCCUGAAGGGCUCUUCUAUACCAAAGAUGGCAGAGAGCAGAAGGCUACAGGCAGUCCUUUUCUGCCUGAAGGAAGGCGUUCUGCUGCCGGCGUCUGUGUCCAAAUUCCCACUACUCCACCUCCAUCCCGCUUUCGUUCAACUCCUCCCCAAAAAAGUACACCUCCUCCUGACUCUGGCAACUCCGUUCCAACUCCUGUUUCCUCCCACCCUCCUUGCACCUGUUCUCCACGGAGAACGGAUGAAUCGCUGAACGAGAAGGAGGAGGUUCUACAGUCCGCCCCGGUGAAACUGGACUCUGAGCUCAGCUUGGGACCUGCAGGACUGUCACCGUCCUCCCUCUCACAGGGGUCUUUCUCACUGUCAAGCCGUCCACUCUCCAGCUUGUUCAGCUGCAGCACUGACCUCUGCAGCAGCAGACACAGCCGUCUGAGUGGAAACACUGCCGAAUUCACGGAUUCAGAUCCAGAAGACGCCUUUAGCUUCUCUUCAGAUCAGCUGGUGAAGCAAGUUUCUCUGGCGUCUGAUCCUCUAACGGGAUCGAGCCGUCAUCUGUCCUGUCGCAGCCUCUCAGCCGCCUCCACUCCUCUCGCUGAGUCUGUUUAUCAACCAGAACCACCCUCCCCGGUCUCAAGGCAGGGGAUCGAUUCUGCUGUGGACGAACCUCAAACGAGCAGCAGGAGCUUUGGAAAAGCAGAUGUCGACCCAGAAACACCUGUAGAAGCUUCUCUUGGAACCUGUGCAACCCCUUCUUCCACCGCCCCCUGCCUUAGUCCAGAGAGGACCACUCCCUAUUCCAGACUAGAGAUGACCUUUUCUCCUUCAGGAUCUCGUCUGGGGUCCCACCGCUGGCCCGUCCUGCCCCCCAUCAGAGGACAUUCAUCAUCGUCCUCCUCAUCCUCAUCUCAUUGCUCUGGGUUGAGCUGCAGCAUGUCCCACAUUUUUGAUGACCUGGAGGCCAUUGCUCCUCCGUCCCCGUCCUGUCUUUCUCUGGAUGAGCCUUCAGACUCCUCUCGGUCUCUUUCACCCAACACAGAACUGUCUCCGGGCCUCGCAGCACUCACAGUGGGUUGUGACUCCGGAGAUUUGGGUUCUCUUUCCCGGGUGCAGCUCCUCCUCCUGGACCGACCAGUACCAGACACUCAUCUGAACCCGUCUGAGUUGGAGGAGGGGUUUUCCCCUUUGCCAGAUUGGUGUGAUCCAAUAGUGCCGUACGAUUACACAGGAUUGGUCUGCGAGUCCUUUGGGGUCACCAUCCUCAUGGAUCAUAGAACCACCGUUGGACAUGCUCAGAUCUUCUGA
rnacentral:lncRNA from 1 species